ACUGGAACGCUCUAGAGAUAGAGUUUUCCCCUUCGGGGGACAAAGUGACAGGUGGUGCAUGGUUGUCGUCAGCUCGUGUCGUGAGAUGUUGGGUUAAGUCCCGCAACGAGCGCAACCCUUAAGCUUAGUUGCCAUCAUUAAGUUGGGCACUCUAGGUUGACUGCCGGUGACAAACCGGAGGAAGGUGGGGAUGACGUCAAAUCAUCAUGCCCCUUAUGAUUUGGGCUACACACGUGCUACAAUGGAUAAUACAAAGGGCAGCGAACCCGCGAGGUCAAGCAAAUCCCAUAAAAUUAUUCUCAGUUCGGAUUGUAGUCUGCAACUCGACUACAUGAAGCUGGAAUCGCUAGUAAUCGUAGAUCAGCAUGCUACGGUGAAUACGUUCCCGGGUCUUGUACACACCGA
rnacentral:rRNA from 2 species